CAAAUGGGGGUGGAUAGAAUGCAGUUGUGCGUCUCUAAGCCAUGGUAGAGACGCGGCAUACGGCUCAGUAACACGUGGCUAACCUACCCUUAGGACGGGGACAACCCCGGGAAACUGGGGCUAAUACCCGAUAGGUGAGGAGGCCUGGAAUGGUUCCUAGUCGAAAAGGCGUUGAAACCAUGCUUUUCAACGUCGCCUAAGGAUGGGGCCGCGUCCGAUCAGGUUGUUGGUGGGGUAACGGCUCACCAAGCCUAUAACCGGUACGGGCCGUGAGAGCGGGAGCCCGGAGAUGGGCACUGAGACAAGGGCCCAGGCCCUACGGGGCGCAGCAGUCGCGAAAACUCCGCAAUGCGCGAAAGCGUGACGGGGCUACCCCGAGUGCCGCCCGUUGAGGGCGGCUUUUCCACGGUGUAGGGAGCCGUGGGAAUAAGGAGAGGGCAAGCCUGGUGUCAGCCGCCGCGGUAAUACCAGCUCUCCGAGUGGUAGGGAUGAUUAUUGGGCUUAAAGCGUCCGUAGCCGGCCCGGCAAGUCUCCCGUUAAAUCCAGCGACCUAAUCGUUGGGCUGCAGGAGAUACUGUUGGGCUAGGAGGCGGGAGAGGCCGACGGUAUUCCCGGGGUAGGGGUGAAAUCCUAUAAUCCUGGGAGGACCACCAGUGGCGAAGGCUGUCGGCUAGAACGCGCUCGACGGUGAGGGACGAAAGCUGGGGGAGCGAACCGGAUUAGAUACCCGGGUAGUCCCAGCUGUAAACGAUGCGGGCUAGGUGUUGGGGUGGCUACGAGCCACUUCAGUGCCGCAGGGAAGCCAUUAAGCCCGCCGCCUGGGGGAGUACGGCCGCAAGGCUGAAACUUAAAGGAAUUGGCGGGGGAGCACCACAAAGGCGUGAAGCUUGCGGUUUAAUUGGAGUCAACGCCGGG
rnacentral:rRNA from 1 species